rnacentral:rRNA from 1 species
UACGUAGGUGACCAGCGUUGUCCGGAUUUACUGAGCGUAAAGAGCGCGCAGGCGGUCGUUCAAGUCGAAUGUGAAAGCCCCCGGCUCAACUGGGGAGGGUCAUUCGAUACUGAUCGACUUGAAGGCAGGAGAGGGAAGUGGAAUUCCGGGUGUAGUGGUGAAAUGCGUAGAUAUCGGGAGGAACACCUGUGGCGAAAGCGGCGCACUGGACCACAUCUGACGCUGAGGCGCGAAAGCUAGGGGAGCAAACAGG